rnacentral:rRNA from 1 species
UACGGAGGGGGCAAGCGUUGUUCGGAAUUACUGGGCGUAAAGCGCACGUAGGCGGCUUUCUAAGUCGGGGGUGAAAUCCUGGAGCUCAACUCCAGAACUGCCUUCGAUACUGGAGAGCUUGAGUCCGGGAGAGGUGAGUGGAACUGCGAGUGUAGAGGUGAAAUUCGUAGAUAUUCGCAAGAACACCAGUGGCGAAGGCGGCUCACUGGCCCGGUACUGACGCUGAGGUGCGAAAGCGUGGGGAGCAAACAGGG